CAGCCCCAGGUAGGCCCUCAGAGGCCCAGGUGGGGAGGAGUCUGCUAACUGGAGGACCAGGGCAGCUCCCCACCCACGCACACACCUCCUGGGCGUGGGCUGCCCAGCCUGCCCCUCCCGGGGCCUCCCACUCCAGCCAGGCUCAAAACGCUCCUCAAAAGCGCCAGCACAUGCCAGCCUCCAGGCCCCGACCGGGCAGUGCCCUCUGCUGGAACGCCGGAGGUCUGGCCGGGGCCGUCGGUGGCUUAGGAUGAAUGUUCCCAGGCUUCAGCCCCCUUCGCCCACGGCCUGUUUCCUCCCGGACGAACUGAGCGAACAACCCCGAACAUCUAUUGAGCGCCGGUUGCAUGCUGAGCGUUCAACCUGCUUCCUCAAAGUUCGUCCUCCCAACAGCCCACAAUGAGUGGGUAAACUGAGUUUCAGGUGUACAGCAUAACGGCUCAGUAUUUGUACAUGCUGUGACAUGCUCACCGCAGGAAGUCUGGUUGACAUCCAUCACCACUCAUAGGGAUCACGUCUGCAUCCUGGACAAAUCACCUACGCCUUUCUGUGUCUCAGUUUCCUCUUCUGUAAACUGGAGAGAACUAGCCCCUGGGAGGGCCAAUCUGGAUAGGCGGGCCAGGCUCCUGCCUCUGGGUGAACAAUCUCUGGGCUGCUGUUCCUGCUCCAGGCUCCUGGUGGGAUCAGGCUGAGGCCGGCCGUCAAGCUGGGCUCCCCUGGGUGGUGCUGCCACAUCAGCUGCUGCUACUUUUGUGUGUGUGUGGGUGUGGUAUGAACAUCUUAUUUUUGUAAGCAGAGAAAAGAGGUAUAAGAAUAAAGUUUUGGAAAAUGCCCUGGCCACAGUAAAUGCAUUAUCUCAAUCUUCACUGUGCCCUUGGAAGUUAGCAUGAUUAUCA
rnacentral:lncRNA from 1 species